rnacentral:lncRNA from 1 species
GUGGGGGGAGUGGGCGAAGUUCGUCCGCGGGACUCGGAAUGGCACCAUACUUGGCGGGCUGCCUCCGUGUGCCAAAAAUAGGCCACGGGCACAGCCGUGCCCAAAAAUCAGCCCCCGAAGGUUGGGGUCCCAAGACCCCCCAGCGGAAAAAUGGCCAAAAAAAGGGUGGGCUAUAGCCUUGGUGGGGGGCGUGGGCGAAGUUCGUCCGCGGGACUCGGAAUGGCCCCAGACUUGGCGGGCGGCCUUCGUGUGCCAAAAAUAGGCCACGGGCACAGCCGCGCCCAAAAAUCAGCCCCCGAAGGUCGGGGUCCCAGGACCACCCAGCGGAAAAAUGGCCAAAAAAAGGGUGGGCUAUAGCCUUGGUGGGGGGCGUGGGCGAAGUUUGUCCGCGGGACUCGGAAUGGCCCCAGACUUGGCGGGCGGCCUCCGUGUGCCAAAAAUAGGCGACGGGCACAGCCGUGCCCAAAAAUCAGCCCCCGAAGGUCGGGGUCCCAAGACCCCCCAGCGGAAAAAUGGCCAAAAAACGGGUGGGCUAUAGCCUAUGUGGGGGGCGUGGGCGAAGUUCGUCCGCCGGACUUGGAAUGGCCCCAGACUUGGCGGGCGGCCUCCGUGUGCCAAAAAUAGGCCACGGGUACAGCCGCUCCCAAAAAUCAGCCCCCGAAGGUCGGAGUCCCAAGACCCCCCAGCGGAAAAAUGGCCAAAAAACGGGUGGGCUAUAGCCUUGGAGGGGGGCGUGGGCGAAGUUCGUCCGCGGGACUCGGAAUGGCCCCAGAUUUGGCGGGCGGCCUCCGUGUGCCAAAAAUAGGCCACAGGCACAGCCGCGCCCAAAAAUCAGCCCCCGAAGGUCGGGGUCCCAAGACCCCCCAGCGGAAAAAUGGCCAAAAGACGAGUGGGCUAUAGCCUUGGUGGGGGGAAUGGGCGAAGUUCGUCCGUGGGACUCGGAAUGGCACCAGACUUGGCGGGAGUGGGCGAAGUUCGUCCGCGGGACUCGAAAUGGCACCAUACUUGGCGGGUGGCCUCCGUGUGCCAAAAAUAGGCCACGGGCACAGCCGCGCCCAAAAAUCAGCCCCCGAAGGUCGGGGUCCCAAGACCCCCCAGCGGAAAAAUGGCCAAAAAAUGGGUGGGCUAUAGCCUAUGUGGGGGGCGUGGGCGAAGUUCGUCCGCCGGACUCGCAAUGGCCCCAGACUUGGCGGGCGGCCUCCGUGUGCCAAAAAUAGGCCACGGGCACAGCCGCGCCCAAAAAUCAGCCCCCGAAGGUCGGAGUCCCAAGAACCCCCCAGCGGAAAAAUGGCCAAAAAACGGGUGGGCUAUAGCCUUGGUGGGGGGCGUGGGCGAAGUUCGUCCGCGGGACUCGGAAUGGCCCCAGACUUUGCGGGCGGCCUCCGUGUGCCAAAAAUAGGCCACGGGCACAGCCGCGCCCAAAAAUCAGCCCCCGAAGGUCGGGGUCCCAAGACCCCCCGGCGGAAAAAUGGCCAAAAGACGGGUGGGCUAUAGCCUUGGUGGGGGGAGUGGGCGAAGUUCGUCCGCGGGACUCGGAAUGGCACCAGACUUGGCGGGCGGCCUCCGUUUGCCAAAAAUAGGCCACGGGCACAGCCGCGCCCAAAAAUCAGCCCCCGAAGGUCGGGGUCCCAAGACCCCCCAGCGGAAAAAUGGCCAAAAAACGGGUGGGCUAUAGCCUUGGUGGGGGGAAUGGGCGAAGUUCGUCCGCGGGACUCGGAAUGGCACCAUACUUGGCGGGCGGCCUCCGUGUGCAAAAAUAGGCCACGGGCACAGCCGUGCCCAAAAAUCAGCCCCCGACGGUCGGGGUACCAAGACCCCCCAGCGGAAAAAUGGCCAAAAAAAGGGUGGGCUAUAGCCUUGGUGGGGGGCGUGGGCGAAGUUCGUCCGCCGGACUCGGAAUGGCCCCAGACUUUGCGGGCGGCCUCCGUACGCCAAAACUAGGCCACGGGCACAGCCGCACCCAAAAAUCAGCCCCCGAAGGUCGGGGUCCCAAGAGACGCCAGCGGAAAAAUGGCCAAAAAUCGGGUGGGCUAUAGCCUUGGUGGGGGGCGUGGGCGAAGUUCGUCCGCGGGACUCGGAAUGGCCCCAGACUUGGCGGUCGGCCUCCGCGUGCCAAAAAUAGGCCACGGGCACAGCCGCGCCCAAAAAUCAGCCCCCGAAGGUCGGGGUCCCAAGACCCCCCAGCGGAAAAAUGGCCAAAAAACGGGUGGGCUAUAGCCUUGGUGGGGGGCGUGGGCGAAAAUCGUCCGCCGCACUCGGAAUGGCCCCAGACUUGGCGGGCGGCCUCCGUGUGCCAAAAAUAGGCCACGGGCACAGCCGCGCCCAAAAAUCAGCCCCCGAAGGUCACGGUCCCAAGACCCCCCAGCGGAAAAAUGGCCAAAAAAGGGUGGGCUAUAGCCUUCGUGGGGGGCGUGGGCGAAGUUCGUCCGCCGGACUCAGAAUGUCCCCAGACUUGGCGGGCGGCCUCCGUGUGCCAAAAAUAGGCCACCGGCACAGCCGCGCCCAAAAAUCAGCCCCCGAAGGUCGGGGUCACAAGACCACCCAGCGGAAAAAUGGCCAAAAAAAGGGUGGGCUAUAGCCUUGGUGGGGGGCGUGGGCGAAGUUUGUCCGCGGGACUCGGAAUGGCCCCAGACUUGGCGGGCGGCCUCCGUGUGCCAAAAAUAGGCGACGGGCACAGCCGUGCCCAAAAAUCAGCCCCCGAAGGUCGGGGUCCCAAGACCCCCCAGCGGAAAAAUGGCCAAAAAACGGGUGGGCUAUAGCCUAUGUGGGGGGCGUGGGCGAAGUUCGUCCGCCGGACUUGGAAUGGCCCCAGACUUGGCGGGCGGCCUCCGUGUGCCAAAAAUAGGCCACGGGUACAGCCGCUCCCAAAAAUCAGCCCCCGAAGGUCGGGGUCCCAAGACCCCCCAGCGGAAAAAUGGCCAAAAAACGGGUGGGCUAUAGCCUUGGUGGGGGGCGUGGGCGAAGUUCGUCCGCGGGACUCGGAAUGGCACCAGACUUGGCGGGCGGCCUCCGUGUGCAAAAAAUAGGCCACGGGCACAGCUGCGCCCAAAAAUCAGCCCCCGGAGGUCGGGGUCCCAAGACCCCCCGGCGGAAAAAUGGCCAAUAAACGGGUGGGCUAUAGCCUUGGUGGGGGGCGUGGGCGAAGUUCGUCCGCGGGACUCAGAAUGGCACCAGACUUGGCGGGCGGCCUCCGCGUGCCAAAAAUAGGCCACGGGCACAGCCGCGCCCAAAAUCAGCCCCCGAAGGUCGGGGCCCCAAGACCCCCCAGCGGAAAAAUGGCUAAAAAACGGGUGGGCUAUAGCCUUGGUGGGGGGCCUGGGCGAAGUUCGUCCGCGGGACUCGGAAUGGCCCCAGACUUGGCGGGCGGCCUCCGUGUGCCAAAAAUAGGCCACGGGCACAGCCGCGCCCAAAAAUCAGCCCCCGAAGGUCGGGGUCCCAAGACCCCCCAGCGGAAAAAUGGCCAAAAAACGGGUGGGCUAUAGCCUAUGUGGGGGGCGCGGGCGAAAUUCGUCGUCCGGACUAGGAAUGGCCCCAGACUUGGCGGGCGGCCUCCGUGUGCCAAAAAUAGGCCACGGGCACAGCCGCGCCCAAAAAUCAGCCCCCGAAGGUCGGGGUUCCAAGACCCCCCAGCGGAAAAAUGGCCAAAAAACGGGUGGGCUAUAGCCUUGGUGGGGGUUGUGGGCGAAGUUCGUCCGCGGGACUCGGAAUGGCCCCAGACUUGGCGGGCGGCCUCCGUGUGCCAUAAAUAGGCCAUGGGCACAGCCGCGCCCAAUAAUCAGCCCCCGAAGGUCGGGGUCCCAAGACCCCCCAGCGGAAAAUUGGCCAAAAAACGGGUGGGCUAUAGCCUUGGUGGGGGGCGUGGGCGAAGUUCGUCGGCCGGACUCGGAAUGGCACCAGACUUCGCGGGCGGCCUCCGUGUGCCAAAAAUAGGCCACGGGCACAGCCGCGCCACAAAUCAGCCCCCGAAGGUCGGGGCCCCAAGACCCCCCAGCGGAAAAAUGGCCAAAAACGGGUGGGCUAUAGCCUAUGUGGGGGGCGCGGGCGAAAUUCGUCGUCCGGACUAGGAAUGGCCCCAGACUUGGCGGGCGGCCUCCGUGUGCCAAAAAUAGGCCACGGGCACAGCCGCGCCCAAAAAUCAGCCCCCGAAGGUCGGGGUUCCAAGACCCCCCAGCGGAAAAAUGGCCAAAAAACGGGUGGGCUAUAGCCUUGGUGGGGGUUGUGGGCGAAGUUCGUCCGCGGGACUCGGAAUGGCCCCAGACUUGGCGGGCGGCCUCCCUGUGCCAUAAAUAGGCCAUGGGCACAGCCGCGCCCAAUAAUCAGCCCCCGAAGGUCGGGGUCCCAAGACCCCCCAGCGGAAAAUUGGCCAAAAAACGGGUGGGCUAUAGCCUUGGUGGGGGGCGUGGGCGAAGUUCGUCGGCCGGACUCGGAAUGGCACCAGACUUCGCGGGCGGCCUCCGUGUGCCAAAAAUAGGCCACGGGCACAGCCGCGCCACAAAUCAGCCCCCGAAGGUCGGGGCCCCAAGACCCCCCAGCGGAAAAAUGGCCAAAAAACGGGUGGGCUAUAGCCUUGGUGGGGGGCGUGGGCGAAGUUCGUCCGCGGGACUCGGAAUGGCACCAGACUUGGCGGGCGGCCUACGUGUGCCAAAUAUAGGCCACGGGCACAGCCGCGCCCAAAAAUCAGCCCCCGAAGGUCGGGGUUCCAAGACCCACCAGCGGAAAAAUGGCCAAAAAAAGGGUGGGCUAUAGCCUUGGUAGGGGGCGAGGGCGAAGUUCGUCCGCGGGACUCGGAAUGGCCCCAGACUUGGCGGGCGGCCUCCGUGUGCCAAAAAUAAGCCACGGGCACAGCCGCGCCCCAAAAUCAGCCCCCGAAGGUCGGGGUCCCAAGACCCCCCAGCGGAAAAAUGGCCAAAAAACGGGUGGGCUAUAGCCUUGGUGGGGGGCGUGGGCGAAGUUCGUCCGCGGGACUCGGAAUGGCCCCAGACUUGGCGGGCGUCCUCCGUGUGCCAAAAAUAGGCCACGGGCACAGCCGCGCCCAAAAAUCAGCCCCCGAAGGUCGGGGUCCCAAGACCCCCCAGCGGAAAAAUGGCCAAAAAACGGGUGGGCUAUAUCCUAUGUGGGGGGCGCGGGCGAAAUUCGUCGUCCGGACUAGGAAUGGCCCCAGACUUGGCGGGCGGCCUCCUUGUGCCAAAAAUAGGCCACGGGCACAGCCGCGCCCAAAAAUCAGCCCCCGAUGGUCGGGGUCCCAAGACCCCCCAGCGGAAAAAUGGCCAAAAAACGGGUGGGCUAUAGCCUUGGUGGGGGUCGUGGGCGAAGUUCGUCCGCGGGACUCGGAAUGGCCCCAGACUUGGCGGGCGGCCUCCCUGUGCCAUAAAUAGGCCAUGGGCACAGCCGCGCCCAAUAAUCAGCCCCCGAAGGUCGGGGUCCCAAGACCCCCCAGCGGAAAAUUGGCCAAAAAACGGGUGGGCUAUAGCCUUGGUGGGGGGCGUGGGCGAAGUUCGUCGGCCGGACUCGGAAUGGCACCAGACUUCGCGGGCGGCCUCCGUGUGCCAAAAAUAGGCCACGGGCACAGCCGCGCCACAAAACAGCCCCCGAAGGUCGGGGCCCCAAGACCCCCCAGCGGAAAAAUGGCCAAAAAACGGGUGGGCUAUAGCCUUGGUGGGGGGCGUGGGCGAAGUUAGUCCGCGGGACUCGGAAUGGCACCAGACUUGGCGGGCGGCCUCCGUGUGCCAAAACUAGGCCACGGGCACAGCCGCGCCCAAAAACAAGCCCCCGAAGGUCGGGGUCCCAAGACCCCCCAGCGGAAAAAUGGCCAAAAAACGGGUGGGAUAUAGCCUUGGUGGGGGGGGGUGGGCGAAGUUCGUCCGCGGGACUCGGAAUGGCCCCAGACUUGGCGGGCGGCCUCCGUGUGCCAAAAAUAGGCCACGGGCACAGCCGCGCCCAAAAAUCAGCCCCCGAAGGUCGGGGUCCCAAGACCCCCCAGCGGAAAAAUGGCCAAAAAACGGGUGGGCUAUAUCCUAUGUGGGGGGCGCGGGCGAAAUUCGUCGUCCGGACUAGGAAUGGCCCCAGACUUGGCGGGCGGCCUCCCUGUGCCAAAAAUAGGCCACGGGCACAGCCGCGCCCAAAAAUCAGCCCCCGAUGGUCGGGGUCCCAAGACCCCCCAGCGGAAAAAUGGCCAAAAAACGGGUGGGCUAUAGCCUUGGUGGGGGUCGUGGGCGAAGUUCGUCCGCGGGACUCGGAAUGGCCCCAGACUUGGCAGGCGGCCUCCCUGUGCCACAAAUAGGCCAUGGGCACAGCCGCGCCCAAUAAUCAGCCCCCGAAGGUCGGGGUCCCAAGACCCCCCAGCGGAAAAUUGGCCAAAAAACGGGUGGGCUAUAGCCUUGGUGGGGGGCGUGGGCGAAGUUCGUCGGCCGGACUCGGAAUGGCACCAGACUUCGCGGGCGGCCUCCGUGUGCCAAAAAUAGGCCACGGGCACAGCCGCGCCACAAAACAGCCCCCGAAGGUCGGGGCCCCAAGACCCCCCAGCGGAAAAAUGGCCAAAAAACGGGUGGGCUAUAGCCUUGGUGGGGGGCGUGGGCGAAGUUCGUCCGCCGGACUCGGAAUGGCCCCAGACUUGGCGGGCGGCCUCCGUGUGCCAAAAAUAGGCCAUGUGCACAGCCGCGCCCAAAAAUCAGCCCCCGAAGGUCGUGGCCCCAAGACCCCCCAGUGGAAAAAUGGCCAAAAAACAGGUGGGCUAUAGCCUUGGUGGGGGGCGUGGGCGAAGUUCGUCGGCCGGACUCGGAAUGGCACCAGACUUGGUGGGCGGCCUCCGUGUGCAAAAAAUAGGCCACGGGCACAGCCGCGCCACAAAUCAGCCCCCGAAGGUCGGGGUCCCAAGACCCCCCAGCGGAAAAAUGGCCAAAAAACGGAUGGCCUAUAGCCUAUGUGGGGGGCGCGGGCGAAAUUCGUCGUCCGGACUAGGAAUGGCCCCAGACUUGGCGGGCGGCCUCCCUGUGCCAAAAAUAGGCCACGGGCACAGCCGCGCCCAAAAAUCAGCCCCCGAAGGUCGGGGUCCCAAN